rnacentral:rRNA from 1 species
AGAGUUUGAUCCUGGCUCAGAUUGAACGCUGGCGGCAGGCCUAACACAUGCAAGUCGAGCGGAUGACGGGAGCUUGCUCCUUGAUUCAGCGGCGGACGGGUGAGUAAUGCCUAGGAAGCUGCCUGGUAGUGGGGGACAACGUUUCGAAAGGAACGCUAAUACCGCAUACGUCCUACGGGAGAAAGCAGGGGACCUUCGGGCCUUGCGCUAUCAGAUGAGCCUAGGUCGGAUUAGCUAGUAGGUGAGGUAAUGGCUCACCUAGGCGACGAUCCGUAACUGGUCUGAGAGGAUGAUCAGUCACACUGGAACUGAGACACGGUCCAGACUCCUACGGGAGGCAGCAGUGGGGAAUAUUGGACAAUGGGCGAAAGCCUGAUCCAGCCAUGCCGCGUGUGUGAAGAAGGUCUUCGGAUUGUAAAGCACUUUAAGUUGGGAGGAAGGGCAGUAAGCUAAUACCUUGCUGUUUUGACGUUACCGACAGAAUAAGCACCGGCUAACUCUGUGCCAGCAGCCGCGGUAAUACAGAGGGUGCAAGCGUUAAUCGGAAUUACUGGGCGUAAAGCGCGCGUAGGUGGUUCGUUAAGUUGGAUGUGAAAGCCCCGGGCUCAACCUGGGAACUGCAUCCAAAACUGGCGAGCUAGAGUAUGGUAGAGGGUGGUGGAAUUUCCUGUGUAGCGGUGAAAUGCGUAGAUAUAGGAAGGAACACCAGUGGCGAAGGCGACCACCUGGACUGAUACUGACACUGAGGUGCGAAAGCGUGGGGAGCAAGCAG